rnacentral:tRNA from 1 species
GCCUGGGUGGCUCAGUUGGUUGAGCGUUCGACUUCGGCUCAGGUCAUGAUAUCGCAGCUCGCGAGUUCAAGCCCCGCCUCGGGCU